rnacentral:rRNA from 1 species
AGGAUUAACGCUGGCGGCGUGCCUAACACAUGCAAGUCGAACGAGGUAGCAAUACCUAGUGGCAGACGGGUGAGUAACGCGUGGUCAACCUACCGUUGAGUGGGGGAUAACUAGCCGAAAGGUUAGCUAAUACCGCAUACGAGUCUCGGGGGCAUCCCUGGGCCUUAAAAGGAGCAAUCCGCUCGAUGACGGGACCGCGUCCCAUUAGCUAGAUGGUGGGGUAAUGGCCUACCAUGGCACCGAUGGGUAGCUGGUUUGAGAGAGCGACCAGCCACACUGGGACUGAGAAACGGCCCAGACUCCUACGGGAGGCAGCAGUGAGGAAUUUUCCGCAAUGGGCGAAAGCCUGACGGAGCGACGCCGCGUGUGGGAAGAAGGCCUUCGGGUCGUAAACCACUGUCGAAGGGACGAUAAUGACGGUACCCUUGGAGGAAGCCCGGCUAACUACGUGCCAGCAGCCGC